rnacentral:rRNA from 1 species
UCCGGCGGCCAUAGCGGCGGGGAAACACCUCUUCCCAUUCCGAACAGAGAAGUUAAGCCCGCCAGCGCCGAUGGUACUCGGAGGGAGACCUCCCGGGAGAGUAGGUCGCCGCCGGAU